rnacentral:piRNA from 1 species
UUUCAAACUUGGCAAUGUUUCUAGGUGGC